GAGGGCUGUGGCUCAGUGGUAGAGCACAUGGAUGACCCAGGUUCAAGUCCUGGCAUUGUCA
rnacentral:tRNA from 1 species